AAUAACAAAAAAAUAUAAUCAGUAAGAGACAAACGAAAAAAGGUCCGUUUUUUUCAUUUUCUGAGACCGGAAGUGGUCAUCAGCAAGUGUGGAGCCAAACGACAACAAGAUUCUCAGAGGGCGGAGCCAGAGAGCAGUGAUUGGUCAGACUGACUGAGAGCCAGAGAGCAGUGAUUGGUCAGACCAUAGACAAUAUAGAAGACAGCGCGCUAGCGUAUCUAGUCUAUGUAUAUCUAUGGUCGGCACGUCUGGUAGCAUCUCUGGCUGCUGUUGACCUUGUUUUUGGAGUAAAACACGGUGGAAGCUGAAUUAGUGAGGAUGACUCCUGCUCCUGUCAUCUCUAAGCUCCUCACACAUCUUUACCUGCACAUGAGGAAAAUCACUCCUGUAGAAUGCAGAUGCACAAUGAGGGACGUCUGCAGAGACUGAGAAAGAGUCUCACCACAUCCUGACAUGAGGAAAAAGACUUUAUUGAAGACUACAAUGAGAAAAACUAUCAGACAGCAGACGGCUGCAUUCAAGGUGAGCUCUGAACAUCUAAUCUGGAACAGGAAUUCAAUAACGGAUGAAUCAUCUGGCACUAGAGAAGAAGACCAUCAAACAUCCACGUCAGCUGAUGGAGGUCCAAGAGUCUCACCGAACAACCAACCAACAGAGUGAAGACCUCAAAUCUGAUUGGACGGCCUCCUAUUCAGCCAUAUGUGUGAACAAAUGCCUCUAAGCUGAUUUAUUUUCUAAAAUAAAUCUAGUUUGAGUCCUAAUCUAUGCCUGUGUGUUUGCUUCUUUACACCGCUGUUAACAGUUUAGGCUGUUAGAUUGUUCCAGAUAAGACAAGUACAAGAUACUUCAGAGCCGUUCUACCACGAGCCUGACAGGAAGAACUCCAACAGCUACUGAAUGUUCCUGUGGUC